CUCCCCUUUGCUUCAUUUCUUCUCACUCUACACUCCCUCACACUCUCCUUCUCCACUCCCCACGAAAAUGCUGCUCCUCUUAGCUCCAUGGCCGGCCAUGGCCAUGGAAAGAACUCCAAGAUGAAGCUCCCUCCUCCCUCAAGCUUCCCCUCACCAUGAGAGCCUCCCUCUCCAUCUUCUCCCCAACCCUAGGUGGUUUAAUCUCCUCUUCUUCUUCCUCCAUUGCUAAGAUUAGAUCUUGAUGCAGGUGCAUGUUGGUCCAAGCAUGGAGAAGCUUGAGCUAUCCUCAGAUCUGAAGUUCUUGAGCAAAAUCCAAAUCGAGUGAUUCAAAGUUCCGCAGAUAGAUACGGAAAAGAUCUACAACUUGGCGUUGGUCUCAUCCUCAAAUUCGUUACGGAUUGUCCGCGGUGAAAGCCCUCUUCAAUACCUUCAUUUUGGCGGUGGUUUCACUUCGAUUGACCUCCUGAAACUGAAAUGGUUCACAGGUCAAGAUCUGGUCAGAUCUGACUUUGUCGAAUUAAACCAGGAGCUUGGGAACGAAUCUUUGAGUGAAACAAAUUGGGGGAUGUUUGGUUUAUACCAUGAUGAUAACCGAGAGAGGCAAUUGCUAAGUUGUGAUGCACUCAUACCUCUACUAGAUGCGAACAAUUCCGGAGAAGAAGAAGAAGUGGAAUCGGACAAGGAUUUUAUUUGUACUGUGGGAAUUCUUAUUUUGAUGGAGUUGAAGAAGUACAGGGACAAAUAAGCCAAG